CUACGGGCGGCUCCAGUGGGGAAUAUUGCACAAUGGGCGCAAGCCUGAUGCAGCAACGCCGCGUGAGGGAUGACGGCCUUCGGGUUGUAAACCUCUUUUAGCAGGGAAGAAGCGAAAGUGACGGUACCUGCAGAAAAAGCACCGGCUAACUACGUGCCAGCAGCCGCGGUAAUACGUAGGGUGCAAGCGUUGUCCGGAAUUAUUGGGCGUAAAGAGCUCGUAGGCGGUUUGUCACGUCUGCUGUGAAAAUCCAAGGCUCAACCUUGGACUUGCAGUGGGUACGGGCAGGCUAGAGUGCGGUAGGGGAGAUGGGAAUUCCUGGUGUAGCGGUGGAAUGCGCAGAUAUCAGGAGGAACACCAAUGGCGAAGGCACAUCUCUGGGCCGUAACUGACGCUGAGGAGCGAAAGCGUGGGGAGCGAACAGGAUUAGAUACCCCCGUAGUC
rnacentral:rRNA from 1 species